UCGUGACCAUGCCUUACACGAUUGCGAAGCAUUGCUAGGGCAUGCCGAUGUGACCGUGAAGGUUACCCACCAACCACACUGCAUGAUCGUUAUUAAGCUUGCACCAAUAGAAAUUUGCAUGAUCUAAUUCUAUUACCUGAAGCUCUAUCAUUGCGCGAUCGUGACCAUGCCUUAUGCCAUUGCGAAGCAUUGCUAGGGCAUGCCGAUGUGACCGUGAAGGUUACCCACCAACCACACUGCAUGAUCGUUAUUAAGCUUGCACCAAUAGCAAUUUGCAAUUGCUGUCUUCUCCCCAAGCGUGUCAAAAUCCACCCAAGCCCCUCAGGUCCCAAUCCAAACAUUCCAAGAAGUCGUAAAACAUAAUACCAGCCUGUAGGAAGUUUCAAACACGAAACAGAGCAUAAAAUCU
rnacentral:lncRNA from 1 species